GAUGAACGCUGGCGGCGUGCCUAAUACAUGCAAGUCGAGCGAACAGACGAGGAGCUUGCUCCUCUGACGUUAGCGGCGGACGGGUGAGUAACACGUGGAUAACCUACCUAUAAGACUGGGAUAACUUCGGGAAACCGGAGCUAAUACCGGAUAAUAUAUUGAACCGCAUGGUUCAAUAGUGAAAGACGGUUUUGCUGUCACUUAUAGAUGGAUCCGCGCCGCAUUAGCUAGUUGGUAAGGUAACGGCUUACCAAGGCAACGAUGCUCAGCCGACCUGAGAGGGUGAUGGGCCACACUGAAACUGAGACACGGUCCAGACGCCUACGGGAGGCAGCAGUAGGGAAUCUUCGGCAAAGGGCGCAAGCCUGAUCGAGCAACACCGCGUGAGUGAUGAAGGUCUUCGGAUCGUAAAACUCUGUUAUUAGGAAAGAACAAAUGUGUAAGUAACUAUGCACGUCUUGACGGUACCUAAUCAGAAAGCCACGGCUAACUACGUG
rnacentral:rRNA from 1 species